rnacentral:rRNA from 1 species
AAAACGACUCUCGGCAACGGAUAUCUCGGCUCUCGCAUCGAUGAAGAACGUAGCGAAAUGCGAUACUUGGUGUGAAUUGCAGAAUCCCGUGAACCAUCGAGUCUUUGAACGCAAGUUGUGCCCCAAGCCGUUAGGCCGAGGACACGCCUGCCUGGGUGUCACGC